GAUGAAGAACGCAGCGAAAUGCGAUAAGUAAUGUGAAUUGCAGAAUUCAGUGAAUCAUCGAAUCUUUGAACGCACAUUGCGCCCGCCAGCAUUCCGGCGGGCAUGCCUGUUCGAGCGUCAUUUCAACCCUCGACUUCCCUUUGGGGAAAUCGGCGUUGGGGACCGGCUGUAUACCGCCGGCCCCGAAAUGAAGUGGCGGCCCGUCCGCGGCGACCUCUGCGUAGUAAUCCAACUCGCACCGGAACCCCGACGUGGCCACGCCGUAAAACCCCCGACUUCUGAACGUUGACCUCGGAUCAGGUAGGAAUACCCGCUGAACUUAAGCAUAUCAAUAAGCGGAGGA
rnacentral:misc_RNA from 1 species